AUUGAACGCUGGCGGCAGGCCUAACACAUGCAAGUCGAGCGGAUGAAGGGAGCUUGCUCCUGGAUUCAGCGGCGGACGGGUGAGUAAUGCCUAGGAAUCUGCAUGGUAGUGGGGGAUAACGUCCGGAAACGGGCGAUAAUACCGCAUACGUCCUGAGGGAGAAAGUGGGGGAUCUUCGGACCUCACGCUAUCAGAUGAGCCUAGGUCGGAUUAGCUAGUUGGUGGGGUAAAGGCCUACCAAGGCGACGAUCCGUAACUGGUCUGAGAGGAUGAUCAGUCACACUGGAACUGAGACACGUUCCAGACUCCUACGGGAGGCAGCAGUGGGGAAUAUUGGACGAUGGACGAAAGCCUGAUCCAGCCAUGCCGCGUGUGUGAAGAAGGUCUUCGGAUGGUAAAGCACUUUAAGUUGGGAGGAAGGGCAGUAAGUUAAUACCGUGCUGUUUUGACGGUACCAACAGAAUAAGCACCGGCUAACUUCGUG
rnacentral:rRNA from 1 species